GCGGUAAUGCUGAGUAGGGAGAAGAAACACAUCUCUGACAGGAUGCUGUUUAUGCUGAAACAGAGGGACAACCGUGAGGGUGGGGAGAGGAGGAAAGAAGAGCUCAGGCGUUCAUGAAUGGAGAGGAAAUUGGUGUGGCUGGAACACGGAGAGAGGGAGAAGGAAAAGCCUGGAGAGGGAGGGGAGGCUAGGUCAUGCUGCGUCUUCUUGGCAUGGUGGGGGGGGCGGGUCAACAACUAGUCUGAGGAAAGCCAUGGAAGAGGGGUAAGCAACGGAGAAACAUGCUUCAAUUUCUAUUUUAGUUAGCUCCUCCAGGUGCUUAUAAAAGAGAUUAUUGGGAGGCAAGAGUGGAACAACAUGGAUUCUAGGCUCCUGGCUCACAGCCCAAUUUAUCAGUUACUCCAAGCAACCAGAUGAGAAGCAAUCUCAGCAGGCUGGCUCUUGGCCCGAAGACUCUGCUCUUACCUGGAAGUCUGUGCCGGGGGGGGACAGGGCCAAGUGGGAAUGCAGCUGGUCAGGUCCCGGCAAGAAGUCACCAGCCUGGCCUUCCCAUACUUCCGAAGCGUCCUCCAGCGGCUUGUGCCUCAAGGACUGUUCUGGAAGGAUGACAUCCCUCAAAAUGUGAAGACCCAGAAGAUGGAGUACAUGCCCCGGCUCCAUGCCUCAGAGACCUGCCUGAGAGAGGGGUAGACAGCCUUUUCCACCAAAACCACCACGCCAAGGGGCAAGUGCAAAGAGAAAUUCUGACUUGUUCCCUAAGAGCCCAGUGAUCAAGGUGAACAAGGAACAAUGCUUGGACUAGGAAACGGUUUCAGAGUUCCAGAACCAAGAGAUGAGCACUGCAGGUGAGGGCCUGGCCUUGUCUAGGAAGGCCGAGUCUACCAAGGGCCUGUUUAUAGAGGGAGGCAGGGUAAAGGAGGGAAUAGACGUUGGUUGAUAAGGGAUGACAAGACUUCACUGAGGCUGAUGGAGAACCUUCUGGAAGAGAGGGCCUGGAGGAUGGAAAAGAACAGAGCUUUCUGUACAGAGCCAGCCUAAUCCUGGUUCUGGAGCUUCCCAGCUAUGACCUUGGACACCUUCCCUAGGCUCUUCAUGUCCCUUCUCCACAUCUGUAAAAUGGGAAUGGUAAUAAAGGCCACCCCUUGG